GAUGUCAGAGAAAAAGCAGCCGGUAGACUUAGGUUUCUUAGAGGAAGAUGACGAGUUUGAAAAGUUCCCUGCCGAAGACUGGGCUGACUUAGAUGCAGAUGAACAUGCACAUGUCUGGGAGGAUAAUUGGGAUGAUGACAAUGUAGAGGAUGACUUCUCUAAUCAGUUAAUAGAGCUGAACUAGAGAAACAUGGUUAUAAGAUGGAGAC
rnacentral:lncRNA from 1 species